rnacentral:vault_RNA from 1 species
GGUCAGGCUUGGUCUAGUGGUUACUUCGUUUAUAAAUAAGUUUAUGACUCGAUUGAAUUCUAACACGAAAGUGUAAGAACUAUGGACGCUACCCUGAUCUUUU